GAAGGAUCUCUUUCUGGACAUCCCUCCUUGCUGGAGCUUUCCCUGCUGAGCCUGGAAUCUUCUGAUAGGGUAUUUGUCGCAGGAGCAGCAUGUGUUUAUGAUGACACAUCUGGGAGUGUGGACCCUGAUGUUAGAACAGUGGAACUGGAUGGAAUUCAUUAAAUAUAUGGAGAACAAUUGAUCGAGAAGUCAAUGAUCAUCCAUGCAAUGAAAACUGGGACCAACACGGCUCUGAUGAAGCAAGGAGGGAGCCAGGAGCCCUCACCCAAGCCCUGAAAGCAGGGGCUACCCUUGGGUGAACAGGGGUGGUCCCAUAGGAGAUCUGCCUGACCACAGCUGCACCUCACCCUGUGCCAUCCCUUCUGCUCAAUGCAGGUGUCAUACAAGCUUUGCCUUGGUUUGUAGGACUGCUCAGCUCACCUUUUGCAGCCCCUCUUGCACCUUCUGUAGUUGCCUUCCACCACAGUAAUGCCACGUCCAAGUCAACGUUGGCUGUGAAACCCACUGCUUUCUGCUUACCCACAUCAGCACUGACACAGACCUGGGAAACUGCAGAUACGCUGCCUGCACGGUGCAGCUCUUGCCCUGUCACUUUUGCUGCUGAAGAUGUCAUUUAAAAUGUGUUUGAUGCAAAGCUUCCUGUUAACCUGACAGUGCUGAGAGCUGGGGAGUCACAGCAAAGCAAACGCAGAGGUUGGAAGUGUGAGCAGGAUGAAGCUCAGCUUCAUGUAAAUUCAGAUGGUUGUUCCUGAAAGCUCUCCUCAAGUUCUCUCCAGGAGGAUAUAAGGGGUAUGGUGAUCAUUUCUACCUUCUCUGCUUCUCAAACCUCAAAGACAGAUUCGUUCCCACCUCUUCCAAACACCUAUCACAUCUCUGCAUGGUAGCUGAGCUCACUUCUUAUUGCUGGUUCAAGAAGAAAAUCUCUCUAAGGUCUGUGUCAGCGGGGAAAGCAGCUGCAGGAGUGAUUUGCUGGGUUUCUGCUGGUAGCUUAGAGGCUGGACAGGCAGACUUCUGCUGGUUCACACUGUGAGUUCAUUGGGUGUUUUAGGCCAAAGCAGAUGCAAACUCACCCAUGAGUUUGGUGCGAUUGCUGUUCCCAGAUGUCUCCCCUCCUUCCAAA